CCUACCCCUAGAGGCUGCUGUGUCACAUGUACAUCAUGGGGUGGCAGAGCGGAGAGAAGCUGUCUAUGCUAAGUGUGUUGACUUAUGAAUAGCUGAAUGAUUAGUAGCCUAACACC
ensembl:snoRNA Gm22893 predicted gene, 22893